AAGUACCGUGAGGGAAAGGUGAAAAGAACCUUAUUGGAAGAAUCCAUUGAAAAGAGGAGUGAAAUAGAACUUGAAAUUAUAUAUUAAACGAGCUAUUGUUGAAAUUUUUUUUGACAAUGUACCUUUUGUAUAAUGGGUCAGCGAGUAAAUUAAUUUAGCAAGUUUAAUUUUUUAAAUAGACUAAGCGAAAGCGAGUUUUAAAGAGCGAUAAGUUAAAUUAAUUUAACCCGAAACUAAAUGAUCUAAUCAUUUGCAGUUGAAAUUUUUUUGAGGACCGAACUCGUGUAUGUUGCAAAAUACUGAGAUCACGAAUGGUUAGGGGUGAAAGGCUAAUCAAAUUUAGAAAUAGCUGGUUUCCGCGAAAUCUGUUUAAGCAGAGUGUUAUUAUUUUAUCUGUAAAGGUAGAGCAAUUGAUAAGCUAGGGGAGUUUGUUAACUUUACCGAAUUUAACAAAACUACGAAUGUUACAAAGAUAAAAAAAUAAUAAACAGACUGUGAGUGCAAAGAUUCAUAGUCGAGAGAGAAAAAGCUCAGAUCAUAAGUUAAGGUCUUUAAAAUAUAACGUAGUGACUAAAGUUGAAAAAAACCAAGACAAUCAAAAUGUAGGCUUAGAAGCAGCCAUCAUUUAAAGAAAGCGUAAAAGCUCAUUGAUCUAAUUAAGUUUUUUUCUGCUGAUAAUGUAAAGGGACUUUAGUUAUAUACCGAAACUAUGAAUUAUUAAAUAAAAAUAAUGGUAGUGGAAUAUUUUGUAAGUUGUUAAAGCUAUAUUGUGAAAUAUAGUGAAGACAUCAAAAGAAAGAAUGCUGAUAUGAGUAACAUACAAAUAAUGUUUGAAUCAUUAUGGCCGAAAAUCUAAGGUUUUCUCUAGGAACAAUUUUUAACGGAGAGUUAGACGGCCCCUAAGAAAAAAGUGAUAACUUAAUUUUAAUGGGAAAAAGAUUAAUAUUUCUUUUCUUUUUUGUAGUGACAAUGAAAAUUUUUGGGUAUUAUUUUAUUGGAUUAUAACUAUACAAGAAUUUUUAUUCAGGAAAUAACUACAAUAAUUAUAAUUUAAGUGUAUUUUGAUAUAUCAUUCAGAAUAAUUUUAUUUAAAACCGUACUAAAUCCACCACUGGUUGAUAGGUAGAGUAUACUGAGGCGGUGAGAGAAUAACCUUGAAGGAAUUCGGCAAAUUAACUCUGUAACUUCGGAAGAAAGAGGAUUUAUAAUUAACAUUUUAUUUAAAAAAAAUAAUUUUGCAUGAAUUAAAAAGUUUUCACUUUUUAAUCUUUAAUUAUAAAUGGCACGAACCAGGGGAUAGCGACUGUUUAUUAAAAACACAGGACUCUGCUAAAUCGUAAGAUGAUGUAUAGGGUCUGACGCCUGCCCAGUGCUGGUGUGGAUAAAUAUAAAAGUGCAAGCUUUUAUUAUAACCCCCAGUAAACGGCGGCCGUAACUCUAACGGUCCUAAGGUAGCGAAAUUCCCUGUCGCUUAAGUUGUGACCCGCAUGAAUGGCGUAACGACUUUCCUACUGUCUCCAGGGUUAACUCAGUGAAAUUGCAGUUUCCGUGAAGAUGCGGAAUAUUUAUAAUUAGACGGAAAGACCCUUUGCACCUUUACUACAGUUAUAAAGUGUUUCAAGUAUUUUUUUAUGUAGAAUAAUUAAGAUAUUUAGGAUACUUUAGUGUGAGCUAAACGUUGAGAUGUCAGUGAAAUAUUAAUUAUUAAAGUAUUAGAAACUAAAUUUAUGGUAAAAAAUUUUAUAGCGGGUAGUUUGACUGGGGCGGUGUCCUCCGAAAAAGUAACGGAGGAGCGCAUAAGGUAAUUUCUUAGAAAUCAUAUGAUUUCUUUAUGAGUGUAAUGGCUAAAAAUUGCUUGACUGAUAAUGAUUUACAAAUCAAACAGAAACGUAAGUUGGUCAUAAUGAUCCGAUAACACUAAAUGGGAAAGGUAAUCGAUUACCGGAUAAAAGGUACGCAAGGGAUAACAGGCUAAUGAUUCCUGAGAGCUCACAUCGACGGGAUCGUUUGGCACCUCGAUGUCGGCUCAUCACAUCCUGGAAUUGAAGAAGACUCCAAGGGUUAGGCUGUUCGCCUAUUAAAGUGGUACGUGAGCUGGGUUUAGAACGUCGUGAGACAGUUCGGUUCCUAUCUGUUAUAAAUAGAGGAAAAUUGAGAGAAUCUUUUUCUAGUACGAGAGGACCGGAAAGGAAAUGCCUCUGGUUAAUUAGUUGUAACGCCCGUUGCAUAGCUAAGUAGCUAAGCAUUAUAAUAUAACCAUUGAAUGCAUAUUAAAUGGGAAGAUAAUCUUAAAAAAUUUUUCUUUGAGUUUGUAGAAGGCUACUACAGCAUUAGGUCAAGUAUAAAAGUAUAGUAAUAUAUUUAGUUUAUUGAUCCUAAUUACUUAAAUGUUAAUGUU
rnacentral:rRNA from 1 species